AUUGAACGCUGGCGGCAGGCCUAACACAUGCAAGUCGAGCGGUAACACAGGGAGCUUGCUCCUGGGUGACGAGCGGCGGACGGGUGAGUAAUGUCUGGGAAACUGCCUGAUGGAGGGGGAUAACUACUGGAAACGGUAGCUAAUACCGCAUAACGUCGCAAGACCAAAGAGGGGGACCUUCGGGCCUCUUGCCAUCAGAUGUGCCCAGAUGGGAUUAGCUAGUAGGUGGGGUAACGGCUCACCUAGGCGACGAUCCCUAGCUGGUCUGAGAGGAUGACCAGCCACACUGGAACUGAGACACGGUCCAGACUCCUACGGGAGACAGCAGUGGGGAAUAUUGCACAAUGGGCGCAAGCCUGAUGCAGCCAUGCCGCGUGUAUGAAGAAGGCCUUCGGGUUGUAAAGUACUUUCAGCGGGGAGGAAGGCGAUAAGGUUAAUAACCUUGUCGAUUGACGUUACCCGCAGAAGAAGCACCGGCUAACUCCGUGCCAGCCGCCGCUGUAAAAC
rnacentral:rRNA from 1 species